GCGCUUUUAGCUCAGCGGUCAGAGCACACGCUUGAUAAGCGUGGGGUCCCAAGUUCAAUCCUUGGAAGGCGCACCA
rnacentral:tRNA from 1 species